CGUGCCACUUAGAGUGACAAAGCCAUUUUCAGCGGAGCAGGAACAGAGAGUGCAGGAAAGGAGGAGACGUGAACUGGGACUGGGAGAACAGGGACUGGAAGAUAAUUACGCUGAAGUAGCAGAUAGAGAGGAUAUAGCAGUAGUUGAAGUAGUUCAGGAAAACCCGGCAGAGGAUGCAACAUCACAAGACACGACUGGCAGAGGAGACAAAAGGCAAAGAGACAGAUCACCAAAUCCAGCCAAUGUAAAUGAUGUUACAGAAGAUGAAGGGCGUUUUUGAAUAAAAAAGUUUUAGUGAUGAUUUAUUAUUUGAAAACCUGUGGCGUUUCACCGUUUGUAUAAAAGUAGAUAUGUAUGUUUGCUUUCAGUAUGUUUUUUGUACUAUGUGACUUAUGCUAUGGGGAAUAAAAAUAAAUAAAAAUAAAUUAAAAAAAAAAACUAUGCUACACCGAAACUUAGAUAUACUAUUUACAUGACAAUUGAUAGUUGGAAAAUAUUUUUGC